UGUUGGUCCCUUCGCAACGAUAGGUUGUAAACUCCGCCAGGCCCGGAAGGGAGCAACGGUAGCAACUGAUUCGUGUGCCGAGGUGUGGCUGACGGAG
rnacentral:SRP_RNA from 1 species